rnacentral:rRNA from 1 species
GAUGAACGCUGGCGGCGUGCCUAAUACAUGCAAGUCGAGCGAACGGACGAGAAGCUUGCUUCUCUGAUGUUAGCGGCGGACGGGUGAGUAACACGUGGAUAACCUACCUAUAAGACUGGGAUAACUUCGGGAAACCGGAGCUAAUACCGGAUGAUAUUUUGAACCGCAUGGUUCAAAAGUGAAAGACGGUCUUGCUGUCACUUAUAGAUGGAUCCGCGCCGCAUUAGCUAGUUGGUAAGGUAACGGCUUACCAAGGCAACGAUGCAUAGCCGACCUGGGAGGGUGAUCGGCCACACUGGAACUGAGACACGGUCCAGACUCCUACGGGAGGCAGCAGUAGGGAAUCUUCCGCAAUGGGCGAAAGCCUGACGGAGCAACGCCGCGUGAGUGAUGAAGGUCUUCGGAUCGUAAAACUCUGUUAUUAGGGAAGAACAUAUGUGUAAGUAACUGUGCACAUCUUGACGGUACCUAAUCAGAAAGCCACGGCUAACUACGUG